rnacentral:rRNA from 1 species
UGGGGAAUUUUGGACAAUGGGCGAAAGCCUGAUCCAGCAAUGCCGCGUGUGUGAAGAAGGCCUUCGGGUUGUAAAGCACUUUUGUCCGGAAAGAAAUCCUCUGGGUUAAUACCUCGGGGGGAUGACGGUACCGGAAGAAUAAGCACCGGCUAACUACGUGCCAGCAGCCGCGGUAAUACGUAGGGUGCAAGCGUUAAUCGGAAUUACUGGGCGUAAAGCGUGCGCAGGCGGUUUUGUAAGACGGAUGUGAAAUCCCCCGGGGCUUAACCUGGGAACUGCAUUCGUGACUGCAAGGCUAGAGUAUGGCAGAGGGGGGUAGAAUUCCACGUGUAGCAGUGAAAUGCGUAGAGAUGUGGAGGAAUACCGAUGGCGAAGGCAGCCCCCUGGGCCAAUACUGACGCUCAUGCACGAAAGCGUGGGGAGCAAACAGGAUUAGAUACCCUGGUAGUCCACGCCCUAAACGAUGUCAACUAGUUGUUGGGGAUUCAUUUCCUUAGUAACGUAGCUAACGCGUGAAGUUGACCGCCUGGGGGAGUACGGUCGCAAGAUUAAAACUCAAAGGAAUUGACGGGGUCAUAGCUGUUUCCU